GGUCUAAUAGUGUAGUGGUUAGCACACGGGAUUUUGAUCAGGUAGUUCCCGUAACCCAGGUUCGAAUCCUGGUUAGACCU